rnacentral:lncRNA from 1 species
GUUUAGCUCUUUCAGGCCAAAAUUUUUAUCAUCUCCCAGUUUCUGUUUCUGGCGAUAUGUUCUUUUAUAAUUUAUUGUUCGCUGCCAAUUCCAGGUUGUCUACAUUGGAGAUGGAAAUAACAUAGUGCAUUCUUGGUUGCUGCUGGCUUCAGUAAUUCCCUUCCACUUUGUUUGUGCCUGUCCAAAAGGUUUUGAACGAGGAAAUAGUUAAGAAAGCAGAACAGGCUGGGGUAAGCAAAAUUGAGAUCAUUAAUGAUCCUGAUGAGGAAACAGUUAAGAAAGCACAACAGGCUGGAGUAAGCAAAAUUGAGAUAACUAAUGAUCCAAAGGAAGCUGUUAGAGGAGCUGAUGUUGUGUACUCAGAUGUCUGGGCUAGCAUGGGACAAAAGGAAGA